GGCGGCGGCGGCGGCUGCCUCCUGGGGGCAGCCAGCCCCAGCGACCCCGCUGCCUUUUAUACCAUCUCUGCACUAGCCCAGAAGCUGGCAGAAUCCUACUGGGCACAGCCUGUUCUCAAGCCACUCGGCAAAUAUUAACGGAUGAGAGUGAUGGAGAAGUCGCCCUUGCUAAACGGUCUCUGCGCCCCGGUUCACAAACCACAAGUGACUGCUGGAAAAAAAAAAUAUAUAUAUAUAUAUAUUGCUCUUUUAAAGGAUCAAGUGUACGCGGCCAUUGAAUCCCCCAGCGGAGCAGCUGCAUGCCUGGGGAUUCUUCUGGGGGCCUACUGGAAGUUUGAGGGCUGCACCCAGUUUUGGGAAAUAACAUUCCGUCAAAAUUACAUCCAACCUCACCCAAGCAACAAAGCCGGGGUGAGUGAAGACAUCACUAACAACAACAAGGGGACCAGAGACUUAGCACAGGUCUCAAAGAGAUAGCACCUUUUAUACAAGAAAAGAUAUCUGACGGGUGGACAGGUCUGUGGUCAGUUUAAAACAUUCCUUCAGGAGCAUUCUACUCCAGAACUGUCACAGACUGAUCAACGGUCUUAUAUGUCUACCAUAUAAAGAGAAUUGCUCUUAUGUUUAACUCUUUUGAUGCUGGAUAUAUCAAGCUCUCCCUAGGCAUACAUUUGUUUGGCAGUCUGGAGGAUGUCGGCAGACUAAAGAUUAGUGAGCUAAAGAUAGCACAGAAUUGGAACGUAAGUCUGCCCUGAGUAUUUUUUUCCCAAAAUCUGAUCUUCAUUGUGUAAAGCAUUUCCUAUCCCCAUACGUGGUAAAUGAGACCAAGCUAUCCAAAGGUCUGUUCUCCUUGAGACCUUCCCAGGAGCUCAGUGCAUUUGUAGUAUCUCCCAAAUUUUGUAGCUAGGAGAGGGAAGAAGACACUCUAAAGAGCAUGCUGUCCUGCGGUACAGUCAAUAAUGUCUCCCCAAUAGGCCUGUUACCUACAACUAAUUGAGGAUUUGGAUAGCCAAUUCUUAAAGCUACACGUAUUUUUCCAAAGGGGACUCUCUCUC